CUUAGUGGCGGACGGGUGAGUAACGCGUGGGUAACCUGCCUUACACUGGGGGAUAACACUUAGAAAUAGGUGCUAAUACCGCAUAAGCGCACGAAGCCGCAUGGAUUUGUGUGAAAAACUCCGGUGGUGUAAGAUGGACCCGCGUCUGAUUAGCUCGUUGGCGGGGUAACGGCCCACCAAGGCGACGAUCAGUAGCCGGCCUGAGAGGGUGGACGGCCACAUUGGGACUGAGACACGGCCCAAACUCCUACGGGAGGCAGCAG
rnacentral:rRNA from 1 species